rnacentral:rRNA from 1 species
GAUGAACGCUGGCGGCGUGCCUAAUACAUGCAAGUCGAGCGAACAGACGAGGAGCUUGCUCCUCUGACGUUAGCGGCGGACGGGUGAGUAACACGUGGAUAACCUACCUAUAAGACUGGGAUAACUUCGGGAAACCGGAGCUAAUACCGGAUAAUAUAUUGAACAGCAUGGUUCAAUAGUGAAAGACGGUUUUGCUGUCACUUAUAGAUGGAUCCGCGCCGCAUUAGCUAGUUGGUAAGGUAACGGCUUACCAAGGCAACGAUGCGUAGCCGACCUGAGAGGGUGAUCGGCCACACUGGAACUGAGACACGGUCCAGACUCCUACGGGAGGCAGCAGUAGGGAAUCUUGCGCAAUGGGCGAAAGCUUGACGGAGCAACGCCGCGUGAGUGAUGAAGGUCUUCGGAUCGUAAAACUCUGUUAUUAGGGAAGAACAAAUGUGUAAGUAACUAUGCACGUCUUGACGGUACCUAAUCAGAAAGCCACGGCUAACUACGUG